GCAACGUCGGGCAGUCAGGUCCAACUUCAUCAAUUGCCGAAUGAACGGCCUCUGCUUUGCUGCUUCCAGUCACAACUAUAGCUACAUUGGACGCGGAGUUGAUAACUGGCAAAGUGAAAGUAAUCCUCUCUGGAGGGGGUUUGGGUGAGUCAGUGAGAAACGUUACCCACUCUUCUUUCUCAUCAAGUAUGGAGUGAUUAGGGAAAAGAGACGCAACA
rnacentral:misc_RNA from 1 species